rnacentral:rRNA from 1 species
UUCGUAGGUGACCUGCGGAGGGACAUUACCGAGUUCAUGCCCUUACGGGUAGACCUCCCACCCUAUGUUAUAUUACCUUUGUUGCUUUGGCGGGCCGCCCGGCUUCGGCCAGGCUACCGGCUCCAGCUGGUAAGCGCUCGCCAGAGGACCCUCAACUCUGAAUAUCAGUGUCGUCCGAGUACUAUAAAAUAGUUAAAACUUUCAACAACGGAUCUCUUGGUUCUGGCAUCGAUGAAGAACGCAGCGAAAUGCGAUAAGUAAUGUGAAUUGCAGAAUUCAGUGAAUCAUCGAAUCUUUGAACGCACAUUGCGCCCCUUGGUAUUCCGAGGGGCAUGCCUGUUCGAGCGUCAUUACAACCCUCAAGCACUGCUUGGUAUUGGGCUCCGCUGGCUCCAGCGGGCCUUAAAAUCAGUGGCGGCGCCGUUUGGGCUCUGAGCGUAGUAAAUAUCCUCGCUAUAGAGACCAGGCGGUUCUUGUCAUCAACCCCCAACUUUCUAAGUUUGACCUCGGAUCAGGUAGGGAUACCCGCUGAACUUAAGCAUAUCAAAAGGCGGGAGGAA